CAGUCGCCGCGGGAAUACAGAGGGUGCAAGCGUUAAUCGGAAUUACUGGGCGUAAAGCGCGCGUAGGUGGUUUGUUAAGUUGGAUGUGAAAUCCACGGGCUCAACCUGGGAACUGCAUCCAAAACUGGCAAGCUAGAGUAUGGUAGAGGGUGGUGGAAUUUCCUGUGUAGCGGUGAAAUGCGUAGAUAUAGGAAGGAACACCAGUGGCGAAGGCGACCACCUGGACUGAUACUGACACUGAGGUGCGAAAGCGUGGGGAGCAAACAGGAUUAGAUACCCCAGUAGUCCCUGUCUCUUAUAC
rnacentral:rRNA from 1 species